CCUACGGGAGGCAGCAGUGAGGAAUAUUGGUCAAUGGACGCAAGUCUGAACCAGCCAUGCCGCGUGCAGGAAGACGGCCCUAUGAGUUGUAAACUGCUUUUGUACGAGGGUAAACUCAGAUACGCGUACCUGUCUGAAAGUAUCGUACGAAUAAGGAUCGGCUAACUCCGUGCCAGCAGCCGCGGUAAUACGGAGGAUUCAAGCGUUAUCCGGAUUUAUUGGGUUUAAAGGGUGCGUAGGCGGUCGGUUAAGUUAGAGGUGAAAUCCCGAGGCUCAACUUCGGAAUUGCCUCUGAUACUGUUAGGCUAGAGAGUAGUUGCGGUAGGCGGAAUGUAUGGUGUAGCGGUGAAAUGCUUAGAGAUCAUACAGAACACCGAUUGCGAAGGCAGCUUACCGGAGGGGAUCUGACGCUGAGGCACGAAAGCGUGGGUAUCGAACAGGAUUAGAUACCCCUGUAGUC
rnacentral:rRNA from 1 species